AAAUGUGUGCUCUCUCUGAUCCUCUCCACUCCACGCCACACCAUCUCUCUCAUAUUACAAAGUACUUGGAAUUUCAAGCCAUGAAAUGAUUGCAAGAAGAAACAAAGCAAAUCAGAAGCUGGAGUUGUGCUUCCACCAAUUACAAAGAGGCCAGCCGGAAGACCACCAACAAAGAGGAUCAAAGUUUUUGGUGAAUUUAAAAGGCCAUUGAAAUGCAGUCGGUGCAGUGUUGCUGGGCACAAUAGGAAGACUUGCAAGGCUAUUAUAUGAACACUCCUUCUCAUUUGACAAUUUUUUAUUUUAGAUAUGGUUUAGCGAAUGUAUAGUCAGUUUCUGCGUUGCACUUUUUGCAAAAACUGUAUUGCAGUUUUAGUUGCUUGUAAUUGGCUACACAGCUUCUAAUUGGAUAUUGUGAUUCUUUUUUGAAGUUAAUGAAAAUUAUACAAUUGUUUAAUGAGUGGA